AUGGAUAGGAUGAUCCAAUUUUUUGUUUGGUUGGAUGGAUAGAAUGGACAUAUUAAAUUACUAAUAAAUAAUAAUAUAAAUUAAUCAUUAUAGAUUUUUAUCGUAAUUAAUAUAAAUUAUCAAUUAAAAAUAUCUAUCAUCAUUAAUUAACACUAAUUUAAACUUGGUAAUUACUAAUUAAUGUCAAAACAAGCUAAUUAUCACUAAACAAUCACUAAUGAUCAUGGUUCGCGAAGGUAGUUGAGCUAAUCCGGCCAAUUUGGCCGGAUACACCCAUCCAGCAUCUUCGUAGAAUAUUUCCUUUCUGGCACCAUAUACAGUUUCGCACACGAACCAAACGCAUCAAAAACCUGGACGGUCAUCUCCCAUCCAGGCAUAUCCCACCAACCAAACACACCCUAACAUACCUGAAUCGAGUAAAAUGAUUUUUUUUCAAGAAUAAAUAAGGAGGAAGGGGCAGUAUUAAUCGAACGAGGCUCAAUGAAUGUGGAGAAUGGAUUGACGGUUCUAAUUUGGGGUAACUUUCUUUGAAAGCACAAAACUACCCUUUGCAAAUGACACAGCAUUUGUGCUAUUAAGUACAUUUUAAGAGUACAGAAGCAUGUCUCUUUUAUUAUAAGAAUUGACUACAUUGUAACUCAACAAGGAUUCAGAAACCAGGAAUGUGGAAUUUAAGAGCUUUUUUUUUCUUUCCGGAAAAGAGCAAUUGUCAAAUUAU
rnacentral:lncRNA from 1 species